AGUGCAGCACUGGGGUUGAAACUGAACAAAAACGAAUUCGCUAUUAGUAUUAGUACAAUUCAGGCAAAAUUUCGUAUAUGUGCACUAUUGACGUUUGUUUGUUGAUUUUGAAUCCAGUCGAAAAUUUGCACGUGAUAUGAAUGCUGAAAUUUCUAUUUCACUUCUUCAGCAACUACCAGUGCUGUGGAACUAGUUCUGUGAUGCAAAUUUCUGCUCAAAGAGAAGCAAUGAUCACAGGUGCACGAUGUCAUCACUGAGCAUAUUGCCACGGACUGUGUUAUUAAUGGAGGCAACAUCCCUUAUUUGAAAUAAUUAUUGAACGAGUUCGAGGAUGUCAAACAAAUCUCCAAUUGGUCGGAUUUUGAGCGACUUUAUCGAGCUGUAUGAGAAGUUUGACCUGACCCGGGACGCGAUCGACGACGAGACCAAGGCACUCAAGCCCAAACUAUCCGAUAUGUGCUCUGUGGUCAAAAUGUUCCCAUGCCCGACGCCAAAGCAUCGGUUCUGUCAGAACGAAAUUCCAGCUUAUCUGAUUCGGUCAUUCUUUGCCCCGGAUACGCGUAAUGAUAGCUAUGAUGCGAAUUGGGCUCGAGAAGCUUUCCCUGCCCCAGGAUUACAUGUUUGAGGAAUUGCGGCAUAUGUUGAGCGCGUUUUUGGACGAGGAUCAGCGGAAGCAGCAAUAAAAUAGUGUUUGAACGAAUUAUGUUAUUUUAAUUGUAGAAUUUUUUACUAUAUUAAUGAAAUAAAAAAAAACUCUAGAAUGAAUGGAUGUGCAUACAUUCUCUUGUAGGUAAAUUCCAAAAUGAUCACAGGAAGUGAACACAUUAUACAUAUAAAUAAAUAGUGCCUCUAGCUUGUUACGGAAUAUUAUUAUUGGUUCAUCAAAUUGCACUUUUAUCUAACCGU